GCUUUCCUCCGAGAGUACUGAGACGGAGACGCCUCAGUCGGGAGAAAUCCCGGAACUCGGAGGAGUCUGCUGAACGCCGAACAAAAGGAUGUGGCCGUCGUCUCUUAAACAAAUACGCGAAUCCCAAGCCAUGCACAUUUGGAAGGCAUGUGUAUGUGUGUGAAGGAGAAAGGCCACCGCUGCCCACCGCAGCCCCACCCAGCC
rnacentral:lncRNA from 1 species